rnacentral:RNase_P_RNA from 1 species
AGAGCCGGCCAGACAGUCGCUGUGUCCGUAAAGGGCAUGGAGGAAAGUCCGGGCUUCACAGGGCAGGGUGCCAGGUAACGCCUGGGGGAUCGCGGCGCGAGCCGGGAUUUACGGAAAGUGCCACAGAAAACAUACCGCCGAUGGCCCGCAAGGGCACAGGCAAGGGUGAAAAGGUGCGGUAAGAGCGCACCGCGUGUCUGGCAACAGAGACGGCAGGGCAAACCCCACCUGAAGCAAGGCCAAAUAGGGAUGCCAUGGCGUUGCCCGCGCCGCAUCCGGGUAGGCUGCUAGAGGCGGCUGGCGACAGACGCCCCAGACGAAUGACUGUCCACGACAGAACCCGGCUUAUCGGCCGGCUCUCACU